rnacentral:rRNA from 1 species
UACGUAGGGUGCAAGCGUUGUCCGGAAUUAUUGGGCGUAAAGAGCUCGUAGGCGGUUCGUCGCGUCGGCUGUGAAAACCCGGAGCUCAACUCCGGGCCUGCAGUCGAUACGGGCGGACUAGAGUUCGGCAGGGGAGACUGGAAUUCCUGGUGUAGCGGUGAAAUGCGCAGAUAUCAGGAGGAACACCGGUGGCGAAGGCGGGUCUCUGGGCCGAUACUGACGCUGAGGAGCGAAAGCAUGGGGAGCGAACAGG